rnacentral:misc_RNA from 1 species
GAUGAAGAACGUAGCGAAAUGCGAUACUUGGUGUGAAUUGCAGAAUCCCGCGAAUCAUCGAGUUUUUGAACGCAAGUUGCGCCCGAAGCCAUUCGGCCGAGGGCACGUCUGCCUGGGUGUCACGCAUCGUUGCCCCCCCCAAACUUCGGUUCGGGCGGGGCGGAAGUUGGCCUCCCGUGCGUGCCUGCGCGCGCGGUUAGCCCAAAAGCGAGUCCUCGGCGACGAGCGCCACGACAAUCGGUGGUUUUUUUACCCUCGUUCCUCGUCGUGCGUGCCCCGUCGCCCGAACGCGCUCUUGCGACCCUCACGCGUCGCCUCGGCGGCGCUCCCAACGCGACCCCAGGUCAGGCGGGACUACCCGCUGAGUUUAAGCAUAUCAAUAAGCGGAGGA